GACGAACGUUGGCGGCGUGCUUAAUACAUGCAAGUCAACUGAAGCACCGGUAGUAAUACUGGUGUGGAGGUGGCGCACGGGUGAGUAACACGUAGGUAAUCUGCCUUCAGGUCUGACAUAACCCCGAGAAAUCGGGGCUAAUAGCAGAUGAUGCAGCGGCUUGACAUCAAAGACAGUUGUUAAAGCUUCGGCGCCUGAAGAUGAGCCUGCGUCUGAUUAGCUAGUUGGCGGAGUAAUAGCCCACCAAGGCGACGAUCAGUAGCUGGUCUGAGAGGAUGAUCAGCCACACUGGAACUGAGACACGGUCCAGACUCCUACGGGAGGCAGCAGUAAGGAAUAUUGCUCAAUGGGAGAAAUCCUGAAGCAGCAACGCCGCGUGAGGGAUGAAGGGCUUCUGCUCGUAAACCUCUGUAGUGAGGGAAAAAUUUCCAUUCUAUGGAAUAUGAUGGUA
rnacentral:rRNA from 1 species